CCGGAGUAGCCGUUGGGGCCGCCCCUGGCGUCGAGCAGACAGGAGUAGAGGGUCACCUGCUCCUCUAAGGAGUGGCGGCCCGGCCCAGUGCCCGUGCUGAUCUGCGGCCAGAUGGCGUCGAGCAGGUG
rnacentral:SRP_RNA from 14 species